rnacentral:rRNA from 1 species
CCUACGGGAGGCAGCAGUGAGGAAUAUUGGUCAAUGGGAGAGAUCCUGAACCAGCCAAGCCGCGUGAGGGAAGACGGCCCUAUGGGUUGAAAACCUCUUUUGUCGGAGAACAAAACCCGGGACGAGUCCCGGACUGCGUUUAUCCGAAGAAAAAGCAUCGGCUAACUCCGUGCCAGCAGCCGCGGUAAUACGGAGGAUGCGAGCGUUAUCCGGAUUUAUUGGGUUUAAAGGGAGCGUAGAGGGGUUGUUAAGUUAGUUGUGAAAGUUUGCGGCUCAACCGUAAAAUUGCAAUUGAUACUGGCAGCCUUGAGUACAGUUGAGGUAGGCGGAAUUCGUGGUGUAGCGGUGAAAUGCUUAGAUAUCACGAAGAACUCCGAUUGCGAAGGCAGCCCACUAAACUGCCACUGACAUUGAUGCUCGAAAGUGUGGGGAUCAAACAGGAUUAGAUACCCCAGUAGUC